ACGACCUUACUUGAACAGGAUCUGUUCUAUAGGAAGUACCUCUGUAUCCUUGAUUUCGAAGGAGACAGGCCCAGUAACCUGGUUGAUGAUUCAUGUCCGUGCGAUCUGAGUGUGAUUAACGGCUACGAUUCUCCUCGGAGAGGCUGUGCUGUAGAGGAUCGCUACCUAGCCUGGUCUCGAACUUGCUAGGGUGGUCGCACGGUUGUCUGACAGGCU
rfam:Brassica oleracea var. oleracea cultivar TO1000 chromosome C5, whole genome shotgun sequence